rnacentral:tRNA from 1 species
UACUAUGUCUGAAUACAAUUUAGGCGGUAAUCCUGUCACCUUAGGUCGAUCGGUACCUCAGAUUAAUAACUAGAAAAUGAUUCAUCAUUUUCAUUUGUUUUUUAUUUUAGUUCCUAAACUUGUCUAGGUCACACCCAACUAACUUUCUUCUGGGCUAUUAGCUCAGGUGGUUAGAGCGCACCCCUGAUAAGGGUGAGGUCCCUGGUUCAAGUCCAGGAUGGCCCAUUCGUUGUUGGGGGUAUAGCUCAGUUGGUAGAGCGCCUGCUUUGCAAGCAGGAUGUCAGCGGUUCGAGUCCGCUUACCUCCACUGAUCAACUACCUAAUAACUAAUUUUGGAGAUAGUCAUUUGGUUAUUGUGAUUUAGAUGUUGUUCAUCUGAAUGAACCUAGCUUCCUAUCAAUCGUUUAGUUUUUCUAGGCUGAUAGAUAAGACGCUGGGCUCACGGAUAUUCGAAAGAUUAUCUGUUUGAUUCAGCAGAACCUUGACAACUGCAUAGGAAAAGUCUGGAAAAAUAAAGCAUCUCAUAGAUGUAGAAAAUAAAUUUAUCAGAUAUUCUGAUUGAUUUUUUUUUAUUAAUUCUUGAGUUAGAGCAUAAUUUCUAUAACUUCAACGCUUUAAGCGUUUAUC